UGACUUUAUCAGCUAUAAAAACUUUGAGGACUUCAAGAUUACUAUAAGAGCUGGAGAAAAUUUAGAUAAUAAUGUAGAAGAUAUGAUGAUUGCAGAAACACAAAAAACACAGCUUAUUGAUGGAGUUGC